rnacentral:rRNA from 1 species
AGUGAACGCUGGCGGUAGGCCUAACACAUGCAAGUCGAACGGCAGCACAGUAAGAGCUUGCUCUUACGGGUGGCGAGUGGCGGACGGGUGAGGAAUACGUCGGGAUCUACUUUUUCGUGGGGGAUAACGUAGGGAAACUUACGCUAAUACCGCAUACGACCUACGGGUGAAAGCAGGGGAUCUUCGGACCUUGCGCGAUUGAAUGAGCCGAUGUCGGAUUAGCUAGUUGGCGGGGUAAAGGCCCACCAAGGCGACGAUCCGUAGCUGGUCUGAGAGGAUGAUCAGCCACACUGGAACUGAGACACGGUCCAGACUCCUACGGGAGGCAGCAGUGGGGAAUAUUGGACAAUGGGCGCAAGCCUGAUCCAGCCAUACCGCGUGGGUGAAGAAGGCCUUCGGGUUGUAAAGCCCUUUUGUUGGGAAAGAAAAGCAGCAGGUUAAUACCCCGCUGUUCUGACGGUACCCAAAGAAUAAGCACCGGCUAACUUCGUG